UACAGAGGUCUCAAGCGUUGUUCGGAUUCAUUGGGCGUAAAGGGUGCGUAGGUGGCGGGGUAAGUCAGGUGUGAAAUUUCGGAGCUUAACUCCGAAACUGCAUUUGAUACUGCCUUGCUUGAGGACUGGAGAGGAGACUGGAAUUUACGGUGUAGCAGUGAAAUGCGUAGAUAUCGUAAGGAAGACCAGUGGCGAAGGCGGGUCUCUGGACAGUUCCUGACACUGAGGCACGAAGGCUAGGGGAGCAAACGGG
rnacentral:rRNA from 1 species